GGGUCGUUAGCUCAGUUGGUAGAGCAGUUGGCUUUUAACCAAUUGGUCGAAGGUUCGAAUCCUUCACGACCCACCA
rnacentral:tRNA from 135 species